UGAUCCUGGCUCAGAACGUACGCUGGCGGCACGCCUAACACAUGCAAGUCGAACGAAGUAGCAAUACUUAGUGGCAGACGGGUGAGUAACAUGUAGGUAUCUGCCCUUUGGCCUGGAAUAACACGAGGAAACUUGUGCUAAUACCGGAUAAGUCUUUACGGAGAAAGCUUUAUGCACCAUUGGAUGAGCCUGCACUUGAUUAGUUUGUUGGUGGGGUAAUGGCCUACCAAGACUGUGAUCAAUAGCUGAUUUGAGAGGAUGAUCAGCCACAUUGGGACUGAGACACGGCCCAAACUCCUACGGGAGGCAGCAGUGGGGAAUCUUGCACAAUGGAGGAAACUCUGAUGCAGCGAUGCCGCGUGAGUGAAGAAGGCCCUUGGGUUGUAAAGCUCUUUCGUCGGGGAAGAAAAUGACUGUACCCGAAUAAGAAGGUCCGGCUAACUUCGUGCCAGCAGCCGCGGUAAUACGAAGGGACCUAGCGUAGUUCGGAAUUACUGGGCUUAAAGAGUUCGUAGGUGGUUGAAAAAGUUAGUGGUGAAAUCCCAGAGCUUAACUCUGGAACUGCCAUUAAAACUUUUCAGCUAGAGUAUGAUAGAGGAAAGCAGAAUUUCUAGUGUAGAGGUGAAAUUCGUAGAUAUUAGAAAGAAUACCAAUUGCGAAGGCAGCUUUCUGGAUCAUUACUGACACUGAGGAACGAAAGCAUGGGUAGCGAAGAGGAUUAGAUACCCUCGUAGUCCAUGCCGUAAACGAUGUGUGUUAGACGUUGGAAAUUUAUUUUCAGUGUCGCAGGGAAACCGAUAAACACACCGCCUGGGGAGUACGACCGCAAGGUUAAAACUCAAAUGAAUUGACGGGGACCCGCACAAGUAGUGGAGCAUGUGGUUUAAUUCGAAGAUACGCGCAGAACCUUGCCAACACUUGACAUGUUCGUCGCGACUCUAAGAGAUUAGAGUUUUCGGUUCGGCCGGACGAAACACAGGUGCUGCAUGGCUGUCGUCAGCUCGUGUCGUGAGAUGUUGGGUUAAGUCCCGCAACGAGCGCAACCCUCACUUUUAGUUGCCAUCAUUAAGUUGGGCACUCUGAAAGAACUGCCAGUGAUAAGCUGGAGGAAGGUGGGGAUGACGUCAAGUCCUCAUGGCCCUUACGUGUUGGGCUACACACGUGCUACAAUGGUAUCUACAACAGGAAGCAAGACUGCGAAGUUAAGCAAAUCCCUAAAAGAUACCUCAGUUCGGAUUGCACUCUGCAACUCGAGUGCAUGAAGCUGGAAUUACUAGUAAUCGUGGAUCAGCGUGCCACGGUGAAUGCGUUCCCGGGUCUUGUACACACCGCCCGUCACACCAUGGGAGUUGGUUCUACCUUAAGGCAAGGUUUCAAACCCUUGACCACGGUAUAGUCAGCGACUGGGGUGAAGUCGUAACAAGGUAACC
rnacentral:rRNA from 1 species